CCAUCCGCACGCACCACUUCUUCCAUUAGCCGGCUGAUUAAGAUCUCGCUGCUUGCCAUCACCAAAUUGAUUCUCAAACCAUCACGGCUGAUUCAUUCCUUCCCAUUUCUCUUCGUGUAGGUACUGGCACAGUUUGCCGUUGAGCAGAGUGCGCGGACGCGUCCGUCGCAUUCUCAAGGAUGUGGAUUCUCGACGACCUCGUGGAGUCCGGCGGAGCGUUCUCAAGGGUUUCGGCCAAGAUGAUGACCUCUUCUUGGCGUACGGCUAGAGGUCCAUGGCAGAGGUGUUGUAGUUUGGCCCAGUGGAGGAGGCUGCGAGGGAAAUCACCGAGUCAUGUACUGAGUGAGUUAUUAGAUCUGACAUCUAGAGAAUACAAAUAGCAGCCGACGACCAUGAGAUGCUGGCCUUCUCAUUGUUCUUGCUGUCAGGCUACCACUAACUGUUUGUUGAGCAGCUCACUUGUGCUAGCAAGACGCCAUGGAUUUGCUUAUAUCAAAUCCUGCUAUUAAGUUACAGAUGAAGCAAGGUCUUAUCUCGUAUCACAGAGAUUGAUAGUAUCAUUUAUUGGAAUUCUGAUGCAUUACCUGGUCUGACUGGUUUCCGUGCCUCAUUGUAGUCAGAAGUGAUUUUGCGCCAAUUCUUCCAACGUCGCUUCGUCGGGCG